AGAACGAACGCUGGCGGCAUGCCUAACACAUGCAAGUCGAACGUGAUCCAGGCUUCGGCCUGGUGAAAGUGGCAGACGGGUGAGUAACGCGUGGGAACCUGCCCUGUGGUAGGGAAUAACCGUGGGAAACUGCGGCUAAUACCCUAUGAGUCCUUCGGGAGAAAGAUUUAUCGCCAUAGGAGGGGCCCGCGUCGGAUUAGGUAGUUGGUGGGGUAACGGCCUACCAAGCCUUCGAUCCGUAGCUGGUCUGAGAGGAUGAUCAGCCACACUGGGACUGAGAUACGGCCCAGACUCCUACGGGAGGCAGCAGUGGGGAAUAUUGGACAAUGGGGGCAACCCUGAUCCAGCAAUGCCGCGUGGAUGAUGAAGGCCUUCGGGUUGUAAAGUCCUUUCGGCGGGGAAGAUGAUGACGGUACCCGCAGAAGAAGCCCCGGCUAACUUCGUGCCAGCAGCCG
rnacentral:rRNA from 1 species